rnacentral:rRNA from 1 species
UACGGGGGGAGCAAGCGUUGUUCGGAUUUACUGGGCGUAAAGGGCGCGUAGGCGGCCACCGCAAGUCAAUUGUGAAAUCUCCGGGCUUAACUCGGAAAGGUCAACUGAUACUGCGGGGCUAGAGUGCGGAAGGGGCAACUGGAAUUCUCGGUGUAGCGGUGAAAUGCGUAGAUAUCGAGAGGAACACCUGCGGCGAAGGCGGGUUGCUGGGCCGACACUGACGCUGAGGCACGAAGGCCAGGGGAGCAAACGGG